rnacentral:ribozyme from 1 species
UACAUUUUGCGGUGCUCUGCAACGGGAUGGGAUCCGAAGACUCCUGAAGAUUCCAUCCAACUCCUAUUCCGACACGUCCACGUCGUGCAGGGUGGUAACAUGAGCCCAAACCUAGCGUUUUGGGCGGGUGACAGCUCAUGGAUAAGGAGGAAGGG